rnacentral:rRNA from 1 species
CCUACGGGUGGCAGCAGUGGGGAAUAUUGCACAAUGGGGGAAACCCUGAUGCAGCGACGCCGCGUGAGGGAAGAAGUAUUUCGGUAUGUAAAGCUCUAUCAGCAGGGACGAAAAUGACGGUUCCUGAUUAAGACGCCGCGGCUAACUCCGUGACAGCAGCCGCGGGCAUACGUAGGGGGCAAGCGUUCUCCGGAUUUACGGGGGGUAGAGGGAGCGUAGACGGCAGCACAAGUCUGGAGUGAAAUGCCGGGGCUUAACCACGGAACUGCUUUGGAUACUGUGCAGCUAGAGUGCAGGAGAGGUAAGUGGAAUUCCUAGUGUAGCAGUGAAAUGCGUAGAUAUUAGGAGGAACACCAGUGGCGAAGGCGGCUUACUGGACUGUAACUGACGUUGAGGCUCGAAAGCGUGGGGAGCAAACAGGAUUAGAUACCCUUGUAGUC